rnacentral:rRNA from 1 species
GACGAACCGUGCGAACGUUGUUCGGAAUCACUGGGCUUAAAGGGUGCGUAGGCGGGCCGAAAAGUCAGGGGUGAAAGCCUCCAGCUUAACUGGAGAAGUGCCUUUGAUACUGGCGGUCUUGAGGAAGGUAGGGGCAUGCGGAACUGAUGGUGGAGCGGUGAAAUGUGUUGAUAUCAUCAGGAACUCCGGUGGCGAAAGCGGCGUGCUGGACCUUUUCUGACGCUGAUGCACGAAAGCCAGGGGAGCAAACGGG